GAGUUUGAUCCUGGUUCAAAACGAACGCUGGCGGCAGUGCUUAACACAUGCAGGUACGAACGAGGACCGGUUGCUUGCACUCGAAGCCGAGUGGCGAACGGGUGAGUAACACGCGACCAAUCUACCCUUGGAAGAGGGACAACCUGAGGAAACCCGGUCUAAUACCGCAUGAUGGGCGGUUAUCGUAUGGUGGCUGUACCAAAGGAGGGCCUCUACUUGUAACCUCUUGCCCAGGGAGGGGGUCGCGGCGUAUCAGUUUGUUGGUGGGGUAACGCCCCACCAAGGUUACAACCCGUAGCGGGUUUGAUAGGACAAUCCGCCACAUUGGGACUGAAAUUCGGCCCAAACUCCUACGGAAGGAAUGAUGGGUGAAUAUUGAGCAUGGGCCGAAUGACUGACC
rnacentral:rRNA from 1 species